rnacentral:lncRNA from 1 species
CAUGGGGACCUGUUUUAUGCCAUCACAGCUGACAGUGUUUACCUGGAAACGUUUGUUCUUUGUAACAAGCUUCUUUCCCAGCCUGCCUCCUGGAGGUGAACAUGUGCAGGUGGAGAAGUGCCCACUGCAUCGGGGCCAAAAGAGAGAACGCUGCCUACCUCACCCCAACGGCAUUUGAAAGUAGACUGGCUCAUCUGAAAUGCUUAUUUGCAAGCAUCUAACUUCCUGACCCUGUGUCACAGAUGGCCCCACUUGGCCCCAAGCCCCUG